rnacentral:rRNA from 1 species
CAAUAGCGUAUAUUAAAGUUGUUGCGGUAAAAAAGCUCGUAGUUGGAUUUCUGUUGAAAACAAGCGGUCUACUCAACGAGUACGCAUCUGCUUUGGUUUCGGCAUCCUCUCGAAAGACGUUUUGCGCUUGAUUGUGUGAAGCGGAUUCCGGGACUUUUACUUUGAGGAAAUUAGAGUGUUCACGGCAGGCUAUCGCUUGAAUACAUUAGCAUGGAAUAAUAAUAUAGGAUCUUGAUCCUAUUUUGUUGGUUUCUAGGAACAAGAUAAUGAUUAAUAGGGACAAUUGGGGGCAUUCGUAUCAUCAAGUCAGAGGUGGAAUUCUUGGAUUUUGAUGCGACGAACUACUGCGAAAGCAUUUGCCAAGGAUGUUUUCAUUGA